AUUGAACGCUGGCGGCAGGCCUAACACAUGCAAGUCGAGCGGGGUGAUGGUGCUUGCACUAUCACUUAGCGGCGGACGGGUGAGUAAUGCUCAGGAAUCUGCCUAUUAGUGGGGGACAACAUCUCGAAAGGGAUGCUAAUACCGCAUACGUCCUACGGGAGAAAGCAGGGGAUCACUUGUGACCUUGCGCUAAUAGAUGAGCCUAAGUCGGAUUAGCUAGUUGGUGGGGUAAAGGCCUACCAAGGCGACGAUCUGUAGCGGGUCUGAGAGGAUGAUCCGCCACACUGGGACUGAGACACGGCCCAGACUCCUACGGGAGGCAGCAGUGGGGAAUAUUGGACAAUGGGGGGAACCCUGAUCCAGCCAUGCCGCGUGUGUGAAGAAGGCCUUAUGGUUGUAAAGCACUUUGAGCGAGGAGGAGGCUCUUUUGGUUAAUACCCAGGAUGAGUGGACGUUACUCGCAGAAUAAGCACCGGCUAACUCUGUGCCAGCCGCCGCGGUAAUAC
rnacentral:rRNA from 1 species